rnacentral:rRNA from 1 species
CCUUCUCCGCCGGCGACCGGCGCACGGGUGAGUAACACGUAUGCAACCUGCCCCUGUCAGGGGGACAACCCGCCGAAAGGCGGGCUAAACCCGCGUACAUGCCACCGGGGCAUCCCGGAGGCAGGAAAGGCUUCGGCCGGACAGGGAUGGGCAUGCGGCGCAUUAGGCAGUAGGCGGGGUAACGGCCCACCUAACCGACGAUGCGUAGGGGUUCUGAGAGGAAGGUCCCCCACACUGGUACUGAGACACGGACCAGACUCCUACGGGAGGCAGCAG